CAGAGGAAGCAAUGCAACUUGAUAGUUGUGCUAUCCAAUGAAAAGAGAUCCUCAAGUUGCAUCUGCAGUGGAGAUGCCCCUGCAAGAGGCAUGGUCUGUGUCUGAGGAGUAUGGAAUUGCAGACAGACUGGAACUGGGAUGUGUGAAGCCUUCUAGUGUGGGGUUUAGAGUGAGUCCAAGGACACUUUGCUGGUGCACAAACAUUCACUGUAGUGAUAAUGAUAUCCUACAACCAUGACAACGGCAAAGUUCCUGUCAAUCUUCAUUGCAGCACUUUGCCACUUUGAUGGUUUGUCUAAUUCUGCUUCUUUUAACUUGGUGAUGGAUGGGAGAAAAUCAGCCUAUUGGCAGAGGCAGAGAAAAAGCACUUUCAGUGGCUUGGCUGCCUUCACAAGAAGCUGAAUUGUAAAACCAGUGUGUGUUUAGAGAAGUGAGAGCUGAGUGUGCCCAAGGAAGCACCAGCUUUGCAGCCUGGGAUGUGCCAAACCUAAAAACACCCUUGAAGUUUUCUGGUGUUGUUAAUAAGAGCAGAGGUUUCAGGCCAGGAGAACAGAACUGGAGAAGGGAAAGCAAUUUCCAAGCAUGGACUCUCAGUGGUACUCUAAGGCAUGUCCUGUUUUAUAUUCUUGGCUACAGUUGUGAGAUGGAGACAGUGUCUAGAGAACAAAGUCUGGAGCCCUUCUGUGGGGUAGAACGUUUGGAAAUUUGGUCACCUGUCUGCAAAUACCUGCCUGUGCAAUGGCACUUCAUCCAGGAGCAGUGACGUGAGACAUCAGCCUUUAUCUAAGCAGCAGUCUCGGUGGCGUCAGUGGGAAUUCUGCCUGAUUUAGAGGAUCUUUGCAGAAGCUCUUCAACCCAUUUGUGAAUGCUACGUCUUACCAGGGCUGUGUUAAGGUUCUGAUAAACUGACUGCUGUCUUUCACAGCCACGACCUUCUGAAAUGUCUUUCUCUAAGUCUUCAGUAUCUGUCUGCAGACAGAAAUGAACAGGCAGCGGGGAAGAGAAAAAAACAAACAACAAAAAGUGAGAAAGAAAACCUUUAACAUGGCAGAGCUUUGGUGGGGUUUUCUACUUUUUUUUUUUUUCUAAAUGUGAUACAGUUGGAUAUAUAGUUCUGGUUGGGAUAUAUAUAGUUCUGGUUUGUCCUCCCUUCAGGACCUAAUGGCUCAAAACUAGAGUAGGGAGAAACCUGGAGAGGUUUGCAAGGCCACAUUGUUUUCUUUUUAUAACAUACUAAAAUCUUACUGGCAAAAGAAUGAAUUUAACCUUACAGGAACUCAGCAGUGCUUUUGGCACUGUCUUGCCCGAGGUCUUUCUGUUACCAAAUAAAUCAGUGCACACAACAGCAAAAAAGCAAAGUGAAACUUAAUCCCUACCUGCGUGUUCAAGCAGCUGGGAGCUCUGCUGAUUCGUUUCAGCCCCGCAGUCACGUCCGCCAGGGCUAAGAGCAGAUAACGCAUGUUUAUUUAAUAGCUGAGCCACACUGUGCUCUCAUUAGCUGAGAAUGAUUCAUGAGGUCUGAGAAGACUUUUCAAACUCUUUAUAGUAGCUAAACCCAUGCCUGAAAUACAUGUGAACCCUGGACUCAAAAACGAUCUUCCCCGUUCCACGCUCUGUGCCUCUUCUUGCUAGAGUUGCAUUCAUUAUUUUCACUGUCUUUGCCAGCACUACAAGUGGGGACUUUCACAGCUGGGAGAAGCCACAGGAAAGCAUUCAGGGGCUAUGGAUGGCAUAGUGAUUCACACUGGAAGACACUGGUGUGCCCAGCACAGGACUGGACAGCAAAACAGGAGGAUACUGGGUGGAUAGGAACAUACUCCUGGGGAAUCACUCUAACCCUUGAGUUCUCAGCCCACGGUUCCUUUCUAGAUCUUGCUCUAGAAAGUUCCAAGGAAGGAGUGCAGCAAUGGAGCAGGGAGCCCAACUUUCCUCCUUCUGAGGUGCCUACCAUCCUGCUGCCCCAAGAGCCUUUCUCCAUGCACAGCACAAAACCUUCAGCAGGCAGGGUAGGCAACAGUUCCUUGUCAAAAGCACAUUUUGUUUUCUAGAAACAAGUGUGUACUUUUGCUGUGGUCUCUUAAGAUACAUGUUCCUAGUUUUUUCUUCAACAAGAAUAAACUGCAAAAUAGCAAAAGGAAAAAAAAGUUAAAAAGACAUGUUUUACCAAUCAAUAGAAUAAUUUCAUAUUUUUAAUUUCAAAUAGGUGGGAGAAUAUCAAGGCUCUUUAUGAAAUUUCUAAUAAUUAACUAUCCUACGUUUCUAGACUUAAAAAUUGUAUAUGGACUCUUAUUUUUUGAAGCAUUGUGGAAUUAAAAGUUACUAAAACUAUAAAGUGGUUUGCAGUGUUUAAUAAGUAUAUGUAAUUACUCCAGGAAAAUGGAAUUACUGUUAUAAAAAGACCUUGAAAAGCUAUUAGUAUAACCAUAGGUCUCAGUUUGCAUUCUACAAUAAGCCACAAUUCAGAUAGCAGUUCAUCUAUAAUGCUUGCAUGUCAAUAAGGAGAAAACAUAAAAAGGCAUAAUAAUAUUUUUCCUUUAGUAUGGAAGCUUUCAGAAGUCAGCAAUAACUUGAAUCUGCUGUUACCUGCACUUUAAAACCAUCUUUAUUGAGAAAAAUCUGUUGAAGACUUGCUCUUUUCUGGAGGUGGGUGGAAUAUAAAGGUGUGGGCAAACUUUGUAAUGUUUGUCUUUUGCUAAAACUUAUCCCAUGUUUGGUUCCCUCCCUUGAUACAGUGGUAGAUAGAGGGCAUUCAUCUCACAGAGGCAGCAAAUGAAGGAAGUUCAAAUGAGGCUGAACAUUGCCCAAGACUAUACAAGAAGGUGACAAUUAACUGGGAUGGGGGAAAUCAGCGUAGAUGUAAAUGCUGUUGGACAGAAAGUUGGGAAGAUGUUAUUAAUGUUUCUAUGUUUGAAUAACAGAUUGCUUUUUAAAAAUGGGAACUUUAGUGACAGAUUAUGAAAAGCAAACAUUGAGUCAGGGAAGAAAUAAUCAAGUUGCAGCAGUAAAAUUGGGGAAAUGAGAGAGAAAAAAAUUCAUAACAAUGUUCAGUUGUGUCAGUCCUUGCAAGAAAAAAAAUGGUAUUUUGGAGGUUGUUAUAUGGUUGGAGGGCUGUUUUCCACUGAAUGUGUAUGCCUUUUCUACCCACUGAUUUCUCAGAAUCCAAAAUGCUGGAUAGUUAAACAAGCUCCUAGGGCAGACAAAAUAAAUAACAUUCCUGAACUAAAUACUGGUUGUCUCAGGAAAUCAUGGAGAAUAUGAA